rnacentral:rRNA from 1 species
UACAGAGGAGCCAAGCGUUGUCCGGAUUGACUGGGCGUAAAGCGCACGCAGGCGGACGCGCGCGUGGAGUGUGAAAUCUGGCCGCUUAACGGCCAGGCGCCAUCCCAUACGGCGGGUCUGGAGUGAUGCAGAGGGCGGUGGAAUUGCCGGUGUAGUGGUGAAAUGCGUAGAGAUCGGCAGGAACACCCAGGGGGGAACCAGCCGCCUGGGCAUCGACUGACGCUGAGGUGCGAGAGCGUGGGGAGCGAACCGG